rnacentral:sRNA from 1 species
UCACAAUAUCACUCGCCUCCCAUCCUGCU